rnacentral:siRNA from 1 species
GAUGUUGCUGUCUGAUUCUCUUGC